rnacentral:rRNA from 1 species
CAGUAGCCGCGGGAAUACGAAGGGGGCUAGCGUUGCUCGGAAUGACUGGGCGUAAAGGGCGCGUAGGCGGCGGCCAAAGUCAGGCGUGAAAUUCCCGGGCUCAACCUGGGGGCUGCGUUUGAUACUGUUUGGCUUGAGUUCGGGAGAGGUGAGUGGAAUUCCCAGUGUAGAGGUGAAAUUCGUAGAUAUUGGGAAGAACACCAGUGGCGAAGGCGGCUCACUGGACCGACACUGACGCUGAGGCGCGAAAGCGUGGGGAGCAAACAGGAUUAGAUACCCGAGUAGUCCCUGUCUCUUAUAA